GUGAGAACUGCCAGUUAUGAGAGCAAUGAAGGAAACAGACUUCCAGGUAUGGGAAAAAUUGAGGAGAAAGGCCUUGAACCAAGAAAGAACUUGACACACCUGCGGAACUUAAAUGAAACCACAUUGACCGUGGACUACUGAGCGGGUUCGAGAGGGGAGACCAGAGCACUGGGCAAGGGCCAGAUCGUGAAGGGCUUUAGCCCCAGCACAUAGUUGUAUAUCUUGGCUGUAGGUCAUUCUAGCUCUUCCAUGUGGGAUGCCUGCCACAGCAUGGCCUGAUGAGUGGCGUGUAGGUCCAUGCCCAGGAUCCGAACCGCCAAACCCCAGGCUGCCAAUGUGGAAUGUACGAACUUAAUCACUGGAGCACGGGGCUGACCACCAGAAAUCUAAACUUUUGAAAGCAAAGGUAGAACUGACUUGAAGAAGACACUAGUCAGACUGGAAAUAGAAACAAGCUAGUUUAUUAAAUGCUUCUCUGUAAAGACUAUCCUGUGUUACAUGGAUUAUUUCUUAAUUCAUAUAAGAACACUGCUAGGUACAUGUUAACAAGGGCAACUGGUUAGGUAUAUUUGUAGUCAAGGACACGUGUUGUGUGAUUUUGGAGAGAAGAGAUCAGUUCUGACUUGAACUAAGAAGCUGUGAUGAAAUUCAUCCAGAAAAAUGUGGAGGCAACUGGAGGAAAUACCACGUAGAUGUCUAAGGGACCAAUACUGGAACUGAGAAGCCAGAUAAAACUCCACUUGGUCAGUGAUUGCUUACGUGACAAGAUUCCUUACGUAGGAACUUUCAUGCCAUGAAGUAUCUGGCUAAGACUGUGUUGGAUGGCUCACCUCAGAAGUCUCAGCUUUACACUCUCGUGAAAAGCCCUCGUUCUAAUGGUGAUGCUAGAAUAAUUGCAUCACAGACACCUAGAGAAGAAAAGGACCUUUUGUCUGUUCCACACCCCCAGCAAUUAAUCAGCAGCAAAGGGGGAGAAUCACCUGGGGGCAAUCGCUACAAGUUUCACUUAUCCACUGGAAACCAAACACAAGAAAAGCAGACUGAGUCACACAAAAAUGUCCAAUUAUUAAAAACAAAUGUUUAGGUGGUGGGACCUGAUCCAAGAAAGACUCUGAGAUACUUUUCAGGUAGACAUCUAAGUCACAAGAUAAGUAUCUUGCCUGAAGCUGUGGAGAAAAGAUAAACAGAAAAAUUUCAAACACCACUACCGAGAGAAAAAUUUCUUUUGAUCUGAUACCUUUAUUAAUUUUUUCCUGUUAUGGUCUUUUCUCAUGAUCUAUUGUAUUGUG
rnacentral:lncRNA from 1 species